GCUUUCGAGGUGUAGUGGUCAGCACGCUCGACGCGUAUUCGAGAGGUCCGUAGUUCGAGUCCUGGUGAGGGCA
rnacentral:tRNA from 1 species